CCUAGUAAGGAGUCUUUGUCAAAAACAUUUUGUGAAUCUUUUGUUGCUUGUAUUGUUACAGAUAGGGCCAUCCCUAAGGUGGUGCAGGGCCCGGGGCGGAAGUUAUGGAUUAAUCUCUUCCACGACUGACCGCACUGGCCAAUCGUACCGGCCCAUGGGGCCCCCCAAAGUGCAGGGCCUGGAGCAGUCACCCCGAUUCACCCUAGGGAUGGAUGGUUCUGGUUACAGACAUAGUUGCUGACAGAUGUUAGAAUGGACAACUUGACAAAUCAGUACUCUUAAGAACUGACGAAUACUGAUUGAAUUUAUGGAAGAUAUAUAUUUACCUUUAUAUCUUUGGUUAUUCUGUACUCUAAGAUCUGCAACUGGAAUUUUGAAGACAAGAAAACUCUGAUUGCAGAAAACAUGAACAGCAAGGUGCCAAGGCGAAGGGUAGCUCAGGUCAGAAUUUAUGGGAAGAUAUAAUGGAUCUCUUAAAACCUACAAUAUCUAAUUUCUGAUUAAUCAUUCUAUAUUUCACCAAGGGGAGCAGAAUAUAGCUCUGUGUUCUUAGCUUUGUAAUGCAUUGACUACAUCCUUUUUUCUCUUGUUUUCUUCUCCCAAUACUGUAUGUUAACUGUUCUUAAAUCUGCCUCCAUGCUAACACUGAAAUCUAACAAACUUACUAGUUGUGCUGUUAUUUAAAGUCUCCACUUAUAUUGCCAUUUGAACUCCUACUUUUUCAGUAUAGAAAGGUCAGCCCCACAAACUCACUAGUUCAGAGUUAGCAGUAAUUGGUAGUCUCUACUAAAACUACUCAAUAACCUAAAUGUAUUAAGUUAGACCUAUGGUAUGUGGACUUAAUGGCAGUAUUUAGAUUCAAACCUACCUUAUGAGAUACAAGAAACAAUGGCAUGUUAGUGCUGUAUUUCAAACUUGCACCAUUAUAACCACAGAUACAGUCAUGCGAUCUACCUGAGACACUUGCUGUAAAAGUUAACUGCUAUUUUAAAAGUCAUGUACAAAUAAGAAAUAACUCACUUGGAUAAGCAGCUAGUAAUUAAUGAAUUUGGAGCAAUAGGACUUGAAUGAAUGAUGUGGGUGACGUGAUCAAGUGCAUUCCUCUUACAUUACAUCAGAGCUAGAGCUAAAUCAGAGCAGAUCUAGAUCAAAGCUAGCUAAGGUAUGUCUAUGGGAGUCACACCUUCUGAUUGCAUAGUAGACAUACCGUAGAACCACAUACUCAAGCAGAUGGAUCCUUACCUAAAACCCAUAGAAGUCAGUGGGCUUUAGAUCAGGCCCAAGAUGUACAUCCAUUUUGAUAUUAGUUCUAUUAGCAACUGUAUAUCACUGUGGUAACCUAAUAAUACCACACUAUAAUAAUAUGCAAGGGCCCCCUGAUUUACUGCCAAAAUGUUUCUCUGGUGGUGAUUCUCUAAAAAGUGACAAAUACUAAUUUUGUGUCUGAAAUACCUGGAUACUGUAGGCUGUUUUAAACCAAAUAUUUUGCUCUGGGACUUGGAUUCCAUAUUUUGAUUUGUAUAACAUGCUGCUUUAUUUGAAGAUAGUAGGUCUGGUUGGCACCAGAAUUUGGCUGGGAAUGUGGGUAGGUUUUGUAACAAAUAGCCUUCUUAAUCUGUUCUUAAAAUUUUUAUCUUCUCA